rnacentral:misc_RNA from 1 species
AAGUCGUAACAAGGUUUCCGUAGGUGAACCUGCGGAAGGAUCAUUAUCGAGUAAGGGUCUUCUAGACCCGACCUCCAACCCUGUGUAUAAUUACCCUGUUGCUUUGGCGGGCCCGUCUUUAACCGGUACCGUCGGGGUGCUCGUGGACCUCUGACCCGUGCCGUCCAGUAGCCACCAACAAACAUCUUCAAAACCACGUCAAAUCUGAAUCUAAAUUUUAAUAAAUCAAA